rnacentral:snRNA from 21 species
AUACUUACCUGGAGAUGUUAUAGGAGAUCAAGAAGUUCUAUAACCUUAGUUCCCUAGAGGCAUUGCACAGCGCCAUGGGGAAGUUUGCCAACUCUCACUAUGGUUCGUUCUUGUGUCUUUGGAUGCGAGUUUCGGGUCGAGAGUGUGGAUCUUGUAAUUUUUGAUUUC